UGCUGCUACAGUAGGCACCGAUGCAAUCGCCACCACUCGUGUUCUAAUCCGUGCCGAGAAUAGUCGCGUUUCAACUCACGCUUUGACGGGUGAAGCCAUUCAUCGAACAUUUACUGGAACCGGGGCAGGAAUGGAUAUCGUUGUCUCGAGUGUCAAGGCUUAUAUUGGCGCAUUAAAUAAGAUGUUGGGAACAAAAUCAG